CCGCAGCCCGCGGCGCCCGCCCGAGGGAGCCCCGGCGCCCGGGGAAGGGAAAAGUGGGCGAGCGCGCCCUCGCCCAGCCCCGCGCCCCAGCCCUGCCCGGCGAGGAAGGACCGGGAAGAUGAACAACGGCGGCAAAGCCGAGAAGGAGAACACCCCGAACGAGGCCAACCUUCAGGAGGAAGAGGGUCUAAUUCUUCUCUGCCUGUGUGAGAUUCACUCUGGGUCUGGCUCAGAGGCCUCUGCUCCAAGAUCAAGCAGUCUUCGCAACAGGCUCUAUGGCAUUUGGCAGUGAGGAGUUUUCAGGGGCCACAACCUCAUCUCAGUGGGAGUCCGGACCCUAUUUGUCAGUGGUCUCCCUCUGGAUAUCAAACCUCGGGAGCUCUAUCUGCUUUUCAGACCAUUUAAGGGCUACGAGGGUUCUCUUAUAAAGCUCACAUCUAAGCAGCCCGUAGGUUUUGUCAGUUUUGACAGUCGCUCAGAAGCAGAAGCUGCAAAGAAUGCUUUGAAUGGCAUCCGCUUCGAUCCUGAAAUUCCGCAAACACUACGACUAGAGUUUGCUAAGGCAAACACGAAGAUGGCCAAGAACAAACUAGUAGGGACUCCAAACCCCAGUACUCCUCUGCCCAACACUGUACCUCAGUUCAUUGCCAGAGAGCCAUAUGAGCUCACAGUGCCUGCACUUUACCCCAGUAGCCCUGAAGUGUGGGCCCCGUACCCUCUGUACCCAGCGGAGUUAGCGCCUGCUCUACCUCCUCCUGCUUUCACCUAUCCCGCUUCACUGCAUGCCCAGUGUUUCUCUCCUGAGGCAAAGCCCAACACACCUGUCUUUUGUCCACUUCUCCAGCAAAUUAGAUUUGUCUCUGGGAAUGUGUUUGUAACAUACCAACCUACUGCAGACCAGCAGAGGGAGCUCCCAUGUUGAAUUUGCUUGUUAGCUAUUUUUCCCCCAUUUUGCAAAAAUUAUUUCUUGGUAACAUUUGAGAGAUUUCAAUAAAAAUUUUAAUCAGAGCAAAAAUUACCUCAAGUAGACUGCAGCGUUUUGUUUUCAUGGUGAUGUGAGUUUGGAGCUAUGAGAUUGUGGGAGAAUUGGGCCCCUGAUGCUGAGCACACACCACAUGGGAGAAGGCCUCAGAGCAUCCAGGGGAGGCUCGGCCCAGAGCCGAGGCCUCACUGCUGCUACUGGUCUCUUCUUGGGCUCCCGAGCCAUCAAGAGCUGCACGGUGGAAGAUUCUCUUUCUAGCAUCUGUGGGUCACCUCUACCAGGAGAUCUUGCAUCAGCAGGGAUGGUAUGUCUGGCUGUCAGAAGCCUGUAUGAAGCAAAGAGCUGUGUUUCCAGUCUGUCCGCCCUGAUCUCGAGAAAGGAGGACCCAAGGGGCAGAAAUUGUCAUUGAAGAUCAGGAGUCGCAUCUUCUGGUUCUGCUCCAGCUUCCGUCUGUGAUCUGGUGCUUCCAUCUAUAAAUUGAAGAUGCUUAUUUGACACCACAUCUCAUUUUUGAGGCCUCAUUGCAGAAGGUAAUGGGACUGUAGGCUGCAGUACUUCUGUGUCGUUUGUAGAGAUGAAGGGACAACUUGAUGCAGCAAACAACGGAGUUCUAAGAAGAUCAUUAACGUUUUUAGACAUGAUCAUCCUGUUUACUUUCAAGAUUAUUGGUGUUUGAAAAUUUAUUAAAUAUAUUCUGAAAGCCACUGUGAACAGAAGGGCAGGUUUUAUCCAUGGCUUUUAGGAACCUUCUCUCAUGCACAUACAGCACUUCGUGCCACAUCGUCCUCACACAGCUCAGCCUUUUCGGUCCCCGUUCAGUUUUGCUUGGUGCCAGUUAUUCGUUUAGUCUUGUUGCUGACGGGGCAGAGAGAAAACCAAUAAAGUGCACUGCUCUCAUUACAUUCUAGAAACAAUACUAUUUACCCUUGACCCAGUGCCACCUUGUUGGGCCAGAAGCUUGUCCAGGUAAGUAGGACUGAGAGAGCAAGUCCCGGUUCCCUGUGUCUUCUCCAGGGGCCUCAUUUUCAUUUGCCCUGAGUCAUGGCAGAUCUUCCAGGGCUGCUCCACGGCUCACGGCUGGAACCCAUCACCUGCAUGCCAAGAGAAGGUUCUAAAAUCGUAACACAGACUUCCAGGGCAGGACAUGCCCCUGGGGAGGUGCCUUGUGACACACAGGACAAAUUGUAAAGGUUAAACCCAAAAUCAGUAUAAAAAUGGACCCAGGCACACAGGGAAGGAAGAGAGAUCACAGGGGGAGAGAAGGGCCAGGAACGUUCUGCAGGUGCUCACGGCAGAGCUGCCCGCCCACCCACCUGAUCAGGCAUUUACUCAGCGAAAGGCAACUGCGAACUGAAUCUUCAAACUUUUUUAUAAAAACAAAUUUCCUUAAGCCUCUCCUUUGUCACUAACUAUGCCCUAUGGAGAAUACUGAGAUGAGACACAAGCGAUCUGGUUUGGCACGGGGUGUAAUGGAAGCGCACGGCCCAGGAGAGAGGGAGUGUCUUGAGGGAGGCAGGGAGCAGGGCAGGUGUGAGUAUGGACUCGGGUGAGCACCCAGUGGGGCGGGGCUUGUGCACAGUGGGUAAGGUGGCUGGUCCUGCAGAGGGAGCCUGAACAAAGCCGGGGGGGGGGGGGGAAGGGGGGGGCUUCGGCAUCCCAGCAGCUGGCCAGCCUCCCAAAGGGAAGGGAAGAGUCAGGAGAUUCAGGGUGUUUGCUUCAGGGCCUCCCAGAUGGCAUCAGCUCUUACUGCCCGACACCUGGUCCUCGAGGCCUGGCUUUCUCCAAUGGCCACCAUCCACCGUCUCCCUGCAAUCCAGGCCUUGUGAUUGUCUGGGAGAGCAUGGCUUUGAGGGACUGCAGAGGUUACCUUUGGGGGCUGAUCAGCCCAAGGCUUUAAAUUGUUUUUAGACAUCGAUGAAACUGUUAAUCCUCUGAUAAUGUACCUUUCCCUUUAAACCUUACAGCUCUGUGAAGGUCAGACUGUGAGGAGAAACUGCCCCUGGGUGCUCUGUCUCCUGAAUGUGCUAGCCUUGUCUAGUUCCUGACUUGGUUCAGCUUUCUGGUCUAGGAGCCCCUGGCUUAACUCCCAUAGGAGGCCAGGUGGGGGACAGGCCAGCCAGGCAUUGAGCUCACAGCGUCGGCCUCCUCUGAGCUCUGGGCGUGUGUCUGCCACUUAGAAGGGAGCACAGAGCCCCCUCUCCUUUCCCAGCACCACCUCGGGGCUGUUUCUGUGCCUGCCCCACGAGGCCCGGCCCGUGCCGGAACUCGAGUCCUUCAGGAGGGCUGAGCCUGGCAGUAGCACGGGCUUGGAAGUGCGAGCUGUGGGGCUACCUGGUCAGACACUGGCUCUGCCAUUUACGAGCUGUGUGAUCUCUACUGAACAAGUGCUUUAUGUAACCUCCCUGGGCUUCAGUAAAGUGGGCCUAAUAAUCCCUCCUGUAGAACAAGAGGGCCUGGGGGCGCCUGGGUGGCUCAGUCAGUUAAGCGACUGCCUUCGGCUCAGGUCAUGAUCCUGGAGUCCCAGGAUCGAGCCCCGUAUCAGGCUCCCCGCUUGGCAGGGAGUCUGCUUCUCAGCCUCUGACCCUCCCCUGUCUUGUGCUUUUUCUCGUGCGCUCUCUCAAAUAAAAUCUGUAGAAUGUGAGAGUGUGCCCUAAAUGCUGGUUUUAAGGAGCAUGUGAAUUUUCAACAAGGUGGACACCUAGGCUAGCUCUCUACGAGGCAGUGAUCGUUCAGACGCUACAGGCAUCCAGCACCGUCUUGACGACACUGAGGCAGCUGCAGAGUCCUCGUGACUGCGGCUGAAUGGAAGGCCAGAGGUUGGGAAGAACAAACGAGCGACAGGCGAGCAGGAUGAGGCGUCUGGGGACAGCCGCCAGAGUGACAGCCCUGCAUCCAGCCGUGAGGUGUCUGCAGCCUGUGCCAGCGCCGAGAGGACGCGUGCCCAUAGGAUGCCCUCCCCGACGGCCAGGCCCGGACACGCCUGUCAGGAGAAAACCGAUCCCUGACAGGAAAUAGAUCAAGAGUGGGAAACAGCUGAAUUCCCGGAGAGACCAAGUGGUUCCUGUGGGUUGCUUUAUUCAAACCCGUUGUCCCUGAACUUUCCAGCUGCUGCCUUAUCUUGCUUUGCUAUCGGAGAAACUGGAGAAGAGAAAGACCCACGGGUCAUCUGGCCCGUUCCUCCCUGGACUCUGUGGCUCAUUCUUCCCACAGUCCAUCCGCUAGGAUUCUGCCCCAUCUCGUUUCCGGGUGGCAGCGUCCCCUCUUGUGCCUUGGGAAGUCACUCUCUCCACAGUCCUGUGGCCAAACCCCAGGGGAUCCCUGGCCAAGCAAAUGACCUCCUGUUUACCUUUUCUGUCCUCACCCCCUCCUCUGCGGCUCGGCAUCUGGAGACCUCGGGAGCCCCUAGUAAGGCAGUGAGGGACGGAAGUUCUCGGCGCAUCCGCACUGGCCUCUUGAGAAGCAGUCCGGAGUCCUUCAGCCAGAGUUCAUGGGGGUAGCUGGCUCCUGUGGCCAGAGCUGCUGCCGGGCCCCGAACUUCGCCACGCUCGGCAGCCCCCUAGUGUGGUGGCCCCGGCCGUGGUUGGGGACCUCAGCGAGACUCCUCAAAUUUACCGUUGCUGUGACCGAGAGAGCGGCUCCAAGUGGGCCUCUUCCUGGCUGGAGGGCCACAGGGUUUCCUCCUUUUGGGGCACUGUCUUUCCGGUCCCUCAAGCUUGUUUCAUUUUGGCCUUUGUAAGGCUAAACUUCCUAGGGCGACUUUUUCCCCGGUCUCCUUCGCAAUGAGAACUCCUCCCGAGUCCAUGAGCCCACCUCGUCCUUGGGAUGAUCAACAAGUAAGUGGUCUGACCAUCCCAGUAGGACGGUGCAGAGGGCCUGGCACAGAAUCGGGAUCAAACAGGCCAGUUUUAAUGACUGUUUCCACCCACUGUGCGACCUUUGGGAUUUUAAGCAAGUUUAUUUUAACCUCACUGAAGCUCGGUUUCCUCAUCUCUAAGUAGGAAGAAUGAAUAUCUACUUGAUGGGGUCAUUUCGAGUGAAAGAGUAAAAUGCUUGGCAUGGGGUCGUAAUUAACCUGGCUCUUCUGUUUCCUUCUUACUGUCAGAACUUUAUCUGGCAUGGCCCAGAGGCUCCCAGUCCUCCCUUUGUAGCAUUAGAAGCAGUUAGGAUAUAGGGACUCGAGACCAGCACCCCACCAAGGGAACCCUCAAGGCCCAGGCUCUGUUCUUGGGUGCAGAAGAGAAGUAGCUGGUGCCAGGGCAAGAAUGGCAGCCUGCGGCCACGGUUAUACCAAGGCGAGGCUCUGGUUUGGCCAGGUGGCCCUCCGCCCAGGCUUGGGCCUCCUUUCCUGGGAAUGGGCACCCAGAUACCAUCUAAAAGUAUGAGAAUUCUAAGUGCUCUGGAAACAAAACCAAGACUACAGAGAAAGUUUAGAAAUACAAAAUGUAGCCUUCAUGAAAAGAAAGUGAACUUCUCCUUGAAGAAAACCAAUUCUGACAGGGGAAAAAAGGCAAAUCAACUCCAAAUGGGAUCAUGUUUUAUUCAGGUUUUGUGCUGCCAGUGGGGAAGGCCAGAGCUCAGUGACAGGAUGGGAAAGUGGGACACCCCAACCUCAAGCCUCAUCCACUCUGCCAUGAAGUACUUCUCGCUUCACUGGGCUCGGCUCCUGGGGACCUCUAAUGGCCCUUGAUAGCAAACAUAGUUAAAAAUUAACAGACUGGCAGAAUUAAAUAUGGAUGACAAGCAGCCACUGUGGACUUAAUCUGACACAGGAUGUUACACGCUUGGGUGCCCUCGACCCGAGUAACGUCUUGAGUGAACUUCUGGGGUGUCUGAGCACAUUUCACAUGCCUCUUUGAAGGCAAGAACCUGGCUUGUGCUUAGGACAGACAGGGAAAGAGUCUAAAAGCCCAGGAGAGAGAAUUAUCCCUGAAGGCUUAUGGGUAAUUAAGCCCAGCCUUGACUGGUCUUAGCAGGAGGUGUUCACAGGGGUCUGGACCUUGUCGCUGCCUGGGCUCAGGCCUCAGCAGCGUCCCACCAUCCGGACGGGGAGAUCUUGCAGGGGCAUAGGGCUGGGCUGGAGCAAAAGUGUUCUUCCAGUUUUGGUGAACACUGUGUCAUAUAGGGCAGGGGUGCUAUUUUAAAGAACCCUGUGAUUAGUCCCAUAAAGACGAUCAUCUUUUUUGUAUUGCAGAUCAAUCUAGUGUCUUUGGUGAGUUUGGAGUUUCUUGGACCGCAGUGUGCUUCUGGCUUGGCAGCCUCUCCUUAGCCUGGCAACCUUCAGCAAAGUUUGCUGUAGGACCUGACGUGCUUUAUUCGGUGCUCAGAAUGGAUCCUGGCCUGGAGUGAGCAGGCCAGGGCUGGUUAUAACUAAAGAAUGUGUGAGUGGCUGGCUGCACUUGUUUCAAUGUUGGGAGAGCCCCAGCAGGGUAGUCAGCGCUCCCGCUCGGGCCCAGUGUAGAAACCUGAAUAUCCAUGCCUUAGAAAGGAGAGCCCGGCUCUGAAUAGAUGGUGCUGGGGAAAUCUGUGUUCAGGUACAGCACCUGCUUCGGAAAAGAUGCGCUGGCUCCCUCCCUCCGAGGCUACUUCUCAGGGCUGGAAGUCCCGUCAGUUCUGCUGAAUACUAUGUUGCAGGUGUGUGAUGGUGGCUGCAAUCUGUCUUGUGGGUAUUAAUGCAAUCUUCAGUGGUGGUUGCUGUG